AAUUGAGGAGAGAAGGGAAAAAGGAAUUUGUUAAUUCAGGUGGGAUAGAGCUUCCUCCCAAUUCAUCAAAAAAUAGUUCAAUUAUUAUUACAACUCAAACAAAUGAUUAAACUUCAAUACAACAAGUAGUUUAUGACCAAUACAACAAAUGUUUAGCACAACAAACAUACAACAUCAUGCAUUUUGUCGUCAUCCCAUGCCCACCAUUCCUCGCCUCGAUUUUUCUGAAGUUCGUCAUGUGUUUCGGCACGUCGAAUGGCAUGAUAGAAUGCAACAAAGCGGGCCACCCUCUCGACACUCCUCCGCACUCACACGGGGCGUCCCAACAACUCAUAUCGAGAAUAGUCCAAAUCUUGCCCACGCUCGUUUUCGAUGGUCAUGUUAUGCAAGAUCACACAAGCGUUCAUGAUGUACAGAAGGAUAUUUUGAUCCCAACAGUGGAGGGUUGUUCAUCUAUCUCCUGGGUGUAAGGGCAGGGAUAUGGCUCCAAAAAUUUCAAGGCUUUGUCCAGAAACAGGAACAGGGGCCGGCAUGCGGGUUCAGUUUAGGAUUUCCCUUUUGAAGAAAGUGCAGUUGCCCAAAUUUUCCAUUAAUAGGAACCUGGAAUUGCACCAACACCUCAAAGAGAGCAAGCAGCCACCCCAGCUGCAACUACUCAAGCAGCAUCGGGAGGGAAAGUUAGAAAGCCAUGCAGAAGUUCAUGGACAUGGCUCAGCACAUCACAUCGCUCGGAUCAAACAGGCAAAAAAUAAAAUCUUGCCUGCACAACCUAGCUAACAAGCCGUUCCCGGGCCAUGGCAGGAUCUAGACUACGUGCGCCCAGAAGCCGUGAGGCUCGGCGGGAUUUGUGUUGGGCUUGACCGCCGGGUGAAGAUGGAGAAACCUCGUACCUCAAAUCAAACCCAAUGGGCGGACGGGGCGGAGACGGCGGAGGCGCGGCUUCCAGGCGAGGAAGGACUAGGCCGGCGGCGACGCGCGUGAGAUGCGGGGCCGGCGCGGGGAGAGGGGUUGAGGGGCGUCGCCGUG
rnacentral:lncRNA from 1 species